GUGAGUUCUUGCAUGAAUUGAGAGGCCUCAACUACUGGAACUACUGUCAAACAAAGUGCUAAUGACUCUAAAGAUGAGACCAGUUCUGAAGAAGAAAGUUCUGAUGAUGAGCCAUCUAAAGUCUUCUACUGGGAAGGAGAGUAGUUCUGAUGAUUCCUCAUCAGAGGAGUCUAGUGAUGAAGAAGAGGAUGCGCCUUCAAAGAC